GUGAUUUUUGUGGAAAUUCUUUCGGGAAUGGAAAUGAAAUGAAAGUGGCGAACGGGUGAGUAACACGUGAGCAACCUACCUUACACAGGGGGAUAGCCGUUGGAAACGACGAUUAAUACCGCAUGAGACCACAGAAUCGCAUGAUAUAGGGGUCAAAGAUUUAUCGGUGUAAGAAGGGCUCGCGUCUGAUUAGCUAGUUGGAAGGGUAAAGGCCUACCAAGGCGACGAUCAGUAGCCGGUCUGAGAGGAUGAACGGCCACAUUGGAACUGAGACACGGUCCAAACUCCUACGGGAGGCAGCAGUGGGGAAUAUUGUACAAUGGGGGGAACCCUGAUGCAGCGACGCCGCGUGAGCGAAGAAGGUUUUCGAAUCGUAAAGCUCUGUCCUAUGAGAAGAUAAUGACGGUAUCAUAGGAGGAAGCCCCGGCUAAAUACGUGCCAGCAGCCGCGGUAAUACGUAUGGGGCGAGCGUUGUCCGGAAUUAUUGGGCGUAAAGGGUACGUAGGCGGCCUUUUAAGUCAGGUGUGAAAGCGUGAGGCUUAACCUCAUUAAGCACUUGAAACUGGAAGGCUUGAGUGAAGGAGAGGAAAGUAGAAUUCCUAGUGUAGCGGUGAAAUGCGUAGAUAUUAGGAGGAAUACCGGUGGCGAAGGCGACUUUCUGGACUUUUACUGACGCUCAGGUACGAAAGCGUGGGGAGCAAA
rnacentral:rRNA from 1 species